UCCGUGGAGGGCCCCGACCCGGAGCCCGGCCGCUAUUGCCUCCGCCUCCACAAGAACCGCGUCUUCUACGCCUCCGAGUCGCUCGUCCGCCGCGGCACCGCCGUGUCCCGCACGCGCCUCGCCAGGGUCGGCACGCCCAUCGGCAAGUUCACCCACGGCGGCGCCUUCCACCUCACCGUCCACGCGCUCAACCUCAUCGCCGCCCCCGCGCGCCGCUGCAUCUGGCUGAAGCCCGACACGGAGCGCCCGUUCCUCUUCGGCAACUCCGUGCCCAAGUCCACGCUCGCGCGCAUCACCGAGAACACCUCCGGCGAUGGCGUCAUCGUCAUGUCCAUGGCCGGCGUGCCGCUCGGGUUUGGGGUCGCCGCCAGGGGCGCGCAGGACUGCAGGACGGCCGACACCAACGCCGUGGUGGUGCUCCACCAGUCCGACGCCGGCUGA
rnacentral:rRNA from 1 species